AGACUCAUCACCAUCAGAACCCAUUGCUGGUAAAGAAAAGUUACAGUCUUUAUGUACCAAGAAAAAGAAAAGCUACAGUCUUUACUCUUGACGCCGUUGCUAGUAGUACAAUUAUAAUACCAAAAGUUAGUGAUGGCAAUGGCGAUUUCAGCGUGUGGUGCUUGUCUUCAGUGGAAGAAUUCCAGCUCUCAUUCUUCAGGUAAAGGCUGCAAAUACACUGGUCAAUCCGUGAAAGCAUUGCCUGUUCGAAUCCUAUCGGUAGGAAAAAAGAGGUCUCCUGGUGUGCAAUUACUGGUGGAUGAAUAUAUCGCAAAGCUCAAAUGUUAUUGUCAUGUUGAUGAUGUUCAAAUUCGGUCCAAUCCUAAAAAUGCACGCAAUGCGAGGGCUCAGGUUGAUGAUGAAGACACGGCUGUUGUCAACCUUAUCAGGUCCGAUGAUUGGGUGGUGAUGUUGGAUGAGCAUGGACUAGAUAUUGGGUCUGAGCACAUGGCCGAAUUGUUAGGAGAUGCUGGGAAUACGGGAGCUUUAAGGUUAUCGUUUUGCAUUGGUGGACCUUAUGGUCAUGGACAACAAAUACGAGAACGUGCAAACGUAUCAAUCAAGUUGUCUUCAAUGGUAUUGAAUCAUCAAAUUGCACUAGUUGUGCUCCUGGAACAACUUUAUAGGUCAUGGACUAUUCUGAAAGGACAAAAGUAUCAUCAUUAGCCAUCUUCAUGUUGUGAAUCAUGGCACUUAGGUUUAUCAUUAAUUAUCAGGCCUUCAGAAAGAUUAACUCCAUUUGUCACAGAUUGAAGUUUUCAUGAAAACCUGCAUUCCUGUUCUUGUGUUUGGCAAUUGCAGCAAAUGGACUAGAUUGGACUUAUCUGUGUUUGCUGCAGACUGACACAACAAUUUUGGUGAGGCAUAGACAAAGUUUGGAGCUUGUUGAAGCCCUCACCAUGUAACUGAUGCCUUUAUUGUAUCAUCUACUUACAGCUUAGAGACAUCUUGCAUCACUGAACCAUACAAAAUUGUAGGUGUAAAAAACUUUUCCUUCAUGUUCAAGGCAAUCUAAUUGUUGAGUAAACUAUGAACAAACAAGAAAGAAAAAUUGUUGGUUGAAUGGAGUGAAUGUUACCAAGAAAAAUUGCGUUGUCUUGAUCAACGAUUGCUCUGACUUUUGGCAUUCCUAGUUCGACAGUUUUGUCCAGCAGCAGGUUCUAUCUGGAUAGGCUUAUCCUGGGGAAGUUUGAUUAGUCAAAUGAGUAGCUAUUCUGAUGUCAAGAUCCAACAUCAUACAUACGAUGAAACGAAAGACAUGAAACCCGAAUAGCCCAAAAUGCUGCAUCAGUAUGGUCGAGAAGCAGAAAUUGUCUAAUGAUAUCUGUAUUCUGUAUCAUAAAUUAGACGAGAUGUGUUCAUAUGAUUCAAGAAGAGAUGAUGCUAGUGCAACUA